rnacentral:rRNA from 1 species
CAAACUGAAGAUGGCGACCGGCGCACGGGUGAGUAACACGUAUCCAACCUGCCGAUAACUCCGGAAUAGCCUUUCGAAAGAAAGAUUAAUACCGGAUGGCAUACGAAUAUCGCAUGAUAUUUUUAUUUAAAGAAUUUCGGUUAUCGAUGGGGAUGCGUUCCAUUAGUUUGUUGGCGGGGUAACGGGCCCACCAAGACUACGAUGGAUAGGGGUUCUGAGAGGAAGGUCCCCCACAUUGGAACUGAGACACGGUCCAAACUCCUACGGGAGGCAGCAUG